UUAUAGCUUCGUUAGGUGAGGCUCCUAUAUGGAGAUAUGCUGCUGCCCAGAAACAUCGAGAGAUGCCAACGGGUUAACAAGAAAGAUCGGCUUAAGGUCUUAUUAAUGUAGCUGGUUCUGUCCUAUGCCAUAUAGUGCUUAAACUCAACGAGUGGAGGGAAGA
rnacentral:sRNA from 2 species